rnacentral:rRNA from 1 species
UCCGUUUGAUCCUGGCGGAGGCCACUGCUAUCGGAGUUCGAUUAAGCCAUGCGAGUCGAGAGGUGCAAGACCUCGGCAUACUGCUCAGUAACACGUGGACAAUCUAACCUACGGAGGGGGAUAACCCCGGGAAACUGGGGAUAAUACCCCAUAGACUAUGGAUGCUGGAAUGCUUUGUAGUCGAAAGGUCCGCCGCCGUAGGAUGGGUCUGCGGCCGAUUAGGUUGUUGUUGGGGUAACGGCCCAACAAGCCUGUAAUCGGUACGGGUUGUGGGAGCAAGAGCCCGGAGAUGGAUUCUGAGACACGAAUCCAGGCCCUACGGGGCGCAGCAGGCGCGAAAACUUUACAAUGCGGGAAACCGUGAUAGGGGAACUCCGAGUGCCCGUUAAAUCGGGCUGUCCACCAGUUUAAAUAACUGGUGAAGAAAGGGCCGGGCAAGACCGGUGCCAGCCGCCGCGGUAAUACCGGCGGCUCGAGUGGUGGCCACUAUUACUGGGCUUAAAGCGUUCGUAGCUGGUUUGUUAAGUCUCUGGGGAAAUCUUCCGGCUUAACCGGAAGGCGUCUCAGGGAUACUGGCAGACUAGGGACCGGGAGAGGUGAGGGGUACUCCAGGGGUAGGAGUGAAAUCCUGUAAUCCUUGGGGGACCACCUGUGGCGAAGGCGCCUCACCAGAACGGCUCCGACAGUGAGGGACGAAAGCUGGGGGAGCAAACCGGAUUAGAUACCCGGGUAGUCCCAGCUGUAAACGAUGCGCGUUAGGUGUAUCGAUGACCACGAGUCAUCGAGGUGCCGAAGAGAAAUCGUGAAACGUGCCGCCUGGGAAGUACGGUCGCAAGGCUGAAACUUAAAGGAAUUGGCGGGGGAGCACCACAACGGGUGGAGCCUGCGGUUUAAUCGGACUCAACGCCGGGAAACUCACCAGUUAAGACAGCUGAAUGAUAGUCGGGCUGAAGACUCUACUUGACUAGCUGAGAGGGGGUGCAUGGCCGUCGUCAGUUCGUACUGUGAAGCAUCCUGUUAAGUCAGGCAACGAGCGAGACCCA